CAAUAGCGUAUAUUAAAGUUGUUGCGGUUAAAAAGCUCGUAGUUGGAUUUCUGUCGGUGAGCGGCAGUCCGGCCUCUGUGUUUGGUACUUGUCGCGCCACCGGCAUCUUCCUGGGGACUGUGUCUGCUCUCAUUGAGUGGCGCAUAAUCCAGGACUUUUACUUUGAAGAAAUAGGAGUGUUUCAAGCAGGCAUGCGCCGUGAACACGUUAGCAUGGAAUAAUAGCAUCGGUACCUCGCUCCAAAGCUGUUGGUUUCUUGGGACGAGGUAAAGGGUAGAAUAGGGAUUGUUGGGGGCAUUCGUAUUAACUGUCAGAGGUGAAAUUCUUGGAUUUGUUGAAGACGGACUACUGCGAAAGCAUCUGCCAAAGAUGUUCUCAUUGAUCAAGAACAAAAG
rnacentral:rRNA from 1 species